AUGCUGUUUUUAUGACUAUAGCUCUGUAGUAUAUUUUGAGAUAUAGUAAUACCCACAGGGGUUAAGCUGCAGCACCUUAGCACCAAGCUAACACUAACUGGGGCAGCCUUCCCAUCCCAGGUGGCCCUUUUAAUGGCCAGCUACAGGU
ensembl:snoRNA